rnacentral:misc_RNA from 1 species
AACGCACAUUGCGCCCGCCAGCACUCUGGCGGGCAUGCCUGUCCGAGCGUCAUUUCAACCCUCAGGGCCCCCAGGGGACCUGGUGUUGGGGGCCGGCCGCCCGCGCGCGCGCCGCCCCCGAAAUGCAGUGGCGACCUCGCCGCGGCCUCCCCUGCGCAGUAGCACAGCCUCGCACCGGAGCGCGGAGACGGUCACGCCGUAAAACGCCCCAACCCUCUCAGGAGUUGACCUCGGAUCAGGUAGGAGUACCCGCUGAACUUAA